rnacentral:sRNA from 1 species
UUUUUUUAAUAUCAGGAAGUUCUGGAUCGAAACUUGUAAUCCUUCCAGGCCCGAAACCACAUCGUAUAAUAUUAGUUUCGUUCCAAGCGUUACUCGAACCGAUGAACUCUAGCUCCGCCUAGGAUCUUUACCAAUUGAGCUAACGACACUUGGUUUUUUCUCUCAGAUCUCUGUUAUGAUCUUUCUAAUUUUCUUUGUACGUCAAAAACAUAUAUUUUCAU